rnacentral:rRNA from 1 species
GGGUUGUGAGGUUAAGCGACUAAGCGUACACGGUGGAUGCCCUGGCAGUCAGAGGCGAUGAAGGACGUGCUAAUCUGCGAAAAGCGCCGGCGAGGUGAUAUGAACCCUUGACCCGGCGAUGUCCGAAUGGGGAAACCCAGUGCAAUCCGUUGCACUAUCGUUAACUGAAUACAUAGGUUAACGAGGCGAACCGGGGGAACUGAAACAUCUAAGUACCCCGAGGAAAAGAAAUCAACCGAGAUUCCCCCAGUAGCGGCGAGCGAACGGGGAGCAGCCCGGAGUCUGAAUCAGUUUGUGUGUUAGUGGAACGGUCUGGAAAGUCCGACGGUACAGGGUGAUAGUCCCGUACACGAAAGCACACUUGCUGUGAACUCGAAGAGUAGGGCGGGACACGUGGUAUCCUGUCUGAAUAUGGGGGGACCAUCCUCCAAGGCUAAAUACUCCUGACUGACCGAUAGUGAACCAGUACCGUGAGGGAAAGGCGAAAAGAACCCCGGCGAGGGGAGUGAAAAAGAACCUGAAACCGUGUACGUACAAGCAGUGGGAGCACCUUCGUGGUGUGACUGCGUACCUUUUGUAUAAUGGGUCAGCGACUUAUAUUCUGUAGCAAGGUUAACCGUAUAGGGGAGCCGAAGGGAAACCGAGUCUUAACUGGGCGUUAAGUUGCAGGGUAUAGACCCGAAACCCGGUGAUCUAGCCAUGGGCAGGUUGAAGGUUGGGUAACACUAACUGGAGGACCGAACCGACUAAUGUUGAAAAAUUAGCGGAUGACCUGUGGCUGGGGGUGAAAGGCCAAUCAAACCGGGAGAUAGCUGGUUCUCCCCGAAAGCUAUUUAGGUAGCGCCUCGUGAACUCAUCUUCGGGGGUAGAGCACUGUUUCGGCUAGGGGGCCAUCCCGGCUUACCAACCCGAUGCAAACUACGAAUACCGAAGAAUGUUAUCACGGGAGACACACGGCGGGUGCUAACGUCCGUCGUGAAGAGGGAAACAACCCAGACCGCCAGCUAAGGUCCCAAAGUCAUGGUUAAGUGGGAAACGAUGUGGGAAGGCACAGACAGCCAGGAUGUUGGCUUAGAAGCAGCCAUCAUUUAAAGAAAGCGUAAUAGCUCACUGGUCGAGUCGGCCUGCGCGGAAGAUGUAACGGGGCUAAACCAUGCACCGAAGCUGCGGCAGCGACACUAUGUGUUGUUGGGUAGGGGAGCGUUCUGUAAGCCGUUGAAGGUGUGCUGUGAGGCAUGCUGGAGGUAUCAGAAGUGCGAAUGCUGACAUAAGUAACGAUAAAGCGGGUGAAAAGCCCGCUCGCCGGAAGACCAAGGGUUCCUGUCCAACGUUAAUCGGGGCAGGGUGAGUCGACCCCUAAGGCGAGGCCGAAAGGCGUAGUCGAUGGGAAACAGGUUAAUAUUCCUGUACUUGGUGUUACUGCGAAGGGGGGACGGAGAAGGCUAUGUCAGCCGGGCGACGGUUGUCCCGGUUUAAGCAUGUAGGCGGAGGUUCCAGGUAAAUCCGGUACCUUAUUAACGCUGAGGUGUGAUGACGAGGCACUACGGUGCUGAAGUGAUAAAUGCCCUGCUUCCAGGAAAAGCCUCUAAGCAUCAGGUAACACGAAAUCGUACCCCAAACCGACACAGGUGGUCAGGUAGAGAAUACCAAGGCGCUUGAGAGAACUCGGGUGAAGGAACUAGGCAAAAUGGUGCCGUAACUUCGGGAGAAGGCACGCUGAUGUGUAGGUGAAGUCCCUGCGGACGGAGCUGAAAUCAGUCGAAGAUACCAGCUGGCUGCAACUGUUUAUUAAAAACACAGCACUGUGCAAACACGAAAGUGGACGUAUACGGUGUGACGCCUGCCCGGUGCCGGAAGGUUAAUUGAUGGGGUUAGCUGUAAGGCGAAGCUCUUGAUCGAAGCCCCGGUAAACGGCGGCCGUAACUAUAACGGUCCUAAGGUAGCGAAAUUCCUUGUCGGGUAAGUUCCGACCUGCACGAAUGGCGUAAUGAUGGCCAGGCUGUCUCCACCCGAGACUCAGUGAAAUUGAACUCGCUGUGAAGAUGCAGUGUACCCGCGGCAAGACGGAAAGACCCCGUGAACCUUUACUAUAGCUUGACACUGAACACUGGUCCUUGAUGUGUAGGAUAGGUGGGAGGCUUUGAAGCGUGGACGCCAGUCUGCGUGGAGCCGCCCUUGAAAUACCACCCUUUAAUGGCUGGUGUUCUAACGUAGACCCGUAAUCCGGGUUGCGGACAGUGUCUGGUGGGUAGUUUGACUGGGGCGGUCUCCUCCCAAAGAGUAACGGAGGAGCACGAAGGUUGGCUAAUCCUGGUCGGACAUCAGGAGGUUAGUGCAAUGGCAUAAGCCAGCUUGACUGCGAGCGUGACGGCGCGAGCAGGUGCGAAAGCAGGUCAUAGUGAUCCGGUGGUUCUGAAUGGAAGGGCCAUCGCUCAACGGAUAAAAGGUACUCCGGGGAUAACAGGCUGAUACCGCCCAAGAGUUCAUAUCGACGGCGGUGUUUGGCACCUCGAUGUCGGCUCAUCACAUCCUGGGGCUGAAGUAGGUCCCAAGGGUAUGGCUGUUCGCCAUUUAAAGUGGUACGCGAGCUGGGUUUAGAACGUCGUGAGACAGUUCGGUCCCUAUCUGCCGUGGGCGCUGGAGAAUUGAGGGGGGCUGCUCCUAGUACGAGAGGACCGGAGUGGACGCAUCACUGGUGUUCGGGUUGUCAUGCCAAUGGCACUGCCCGGUAGCUAAAUGCGGAAGAGAUAAGUGCUGAAAGCAUCUAAGCACGAAACUUGCCCCGAGAUGAGUUCUCCCUGAGACUUUAAGUCUCCUGAAGGAACGUUGAAGACGACGACGUUGAUAGGUCGGGUGUGUAAGCGCAGCGAUGCGUUGAGCUAACCGAUACUAAUGAACCGUGAGGCUUAACCUUACAACGCCGAAG